rnacentral:rRNA from 1 species
AGUGGACGCUGGCGGUAGGCCUAACACAUGCAAGUCGAACGGCAGCACAGUAAGAGCUUGCUCUUACGGGUGGCGAGUGGCGGACGGGUGAGGAAUACAUCGGAAUCUACUUUUUCGUGGGGGAUAACGUAGGGAAACUUACGCUAAUACCGCAUACGACCUACGGGUGAAAGCAGGGGAUCUUCGGACCUUGCGCGAUUGAAUGAGCCGAUGUCGGAUUAGCUAGUUGGCGGGGUAAAGGCCCACCAAGGCGACGAUCCGUAGCUGGUCUGAGAGGAUGAUCAGCCACACUGGAACUGAGACACGGUCCAGACUCCUACGGGAGGCAGCAGUGGGGAAUAUUGGACAAUGGGCGCAAGCCUGAUCCAGCCAUACCGCGUGGGUGAAGAAGGCCUUCGGGUUGUAAAGCCCUUUUGUUGGGAAAGAAGAGCAGCAGGUUAAUACCCCGCUGUUCUGACGGUACCCAAAGAAUAAGCACCGGCUAACUUCGUG